ensembl:snRNA U2 U2 spliceosomal RNA
AUGUCUUCUCAGCCUUUUGGCUAAGAUCAAGUGUAGUAAAAGUUCAGUGAAAUGAAGAGAUUUUUUUUAAAAUAUACCAAAGAAUUUUC